GAUGAACGCUGGCGGCGUGCCUAAUACAUGCAAGUCGAGCGAACGGACGAGAAGCUUGCUUCUCUGAUGUUAGCGGCGGACGGGUGAGUAACACGUGGAUAACCUACCUAUAAGACUGGGAUAACUUCGGGAAACCGGAGCUAAUACCGGAUAAUAUUUUGAACCGCAUGGUUCAAAAGUGAAAGACGGUCUUGCUGUCACUUAUAGAUGGAUCCGCGCUGCAUUAGCUAGUUGGUAAGGUAACGGCUUAACAAGGCAACGAUGCAUAGCCGACCUGAGAGGGUGAUCGGCCACACUGGAACUGAGACACGGUCCAGACUCCUACGGGAGGCAGCAGUAGGGAAUCUUCCGCAAUGGGCGAAAGCCUGACGGAGCAACGCGGCGUGAGUGAUGAAGGUCUUCGGAUCGUAAAACUCUGUUAUUAGGGAAGAACAUAUGUGUAAGUAACUGUGCACAUCUUGACGGUACCUAAUCAGAAAGCCACGGCUAACUACGUG
rnacentral:rRNA from 1 species